CUUGGUGAUUAACAAUCAUAUAUCUAAACAUACAUGAUACUAUGGAAGAUAUAGAAGAAUACCUGAUCCCUAAAUCUAAAAAAUUUUGACAGAGCUUCCACUAAGUGCCCAAGUGUUUGCCCUCCAAUAGUGAUCCACACAGAGACUGGAUCAAGACACAAGCUCCUUCAAGAUUUUUCUUCACUAAUUUGGGUAGCACAACAAUCCUCCUGUGUUUUCCUGAACACCCUCCUCU
rnacentral:lncRNA from 1 species